rnacentral:lncRNA from 1 species
AAAUAUGCUCUAUCAAAUACCCCCACACCUAGCUUUUUGCUUGUCCUCAAGCAAAUAAACAUAGUCAAAUAAGCUUUCUUUGCUACUUGAUCCUUAUUUCCACUUAAGCUCUUACUCUAGACACCUAUUUUGAAUCAUUGCAGUGAAUAAUACAUGCAUGAAGAUUACUCACCUUCUUUCCUUGUUUUCCUUUACUUACCAUGGCUAGGAUCUGUUUUCCUCAAGAGAGAC